AAGUCGUAACAAGGUAACCGUAGGUGAACCUGCGGUUGGAUCAUUAUCAAAUGAUUGGUUCUAGGUUCGAGGGUCUCUGUGAUUCUCGCCUAGAGCUAUAAACCUCUGUGCACUGUUUUGUCUUUGGGUCGAGUUCUGUUCUGCAGAGCUUGGCCCGACUGUCUAUACAAACCUUUAUAUUUUGACUGACCUUUCUAAGAGAAUUUAGAGAUAACUUUUAACAACGGAUCUCUUGGCUCUC
rnacentral:misc_RNA from 1 species